rnacentral:rRNA from 1 species
GACGAACGCUGGCGGCGUGCCUAAUACAUGCAAGUCGAGCGCAGGAAGCUGACGGAACUCUUCGGAGGGAAGGCAGCGGAAUGAGCGGCGGACGGGUGAGUAACACGUAAGGAACCUGCCUCAAGGAUUGGGAUAACUCCGAGAAAUCGGAGCUAAUACCGGAUAGUUCAACGGACCGACUGGUCCGCUGAUGAAAGACGCUCCGGCGUCACCUUGAGAUGUCCUUGCGGUGCAUUAGCUAGUUGGUGGGGUAACGGCCCACCAAGGCGACGAUGCAUAGCCGACCUGAGAGGGUGAUCGGCCACACUGGGACUGAGACACGGCCCAGACUCCUACGGGAGGCAGCAGUAGGGAAUCUUCCACAAUGGACGAAAGUCUGAUGGAGCAACGCCGCGUGAGUGAUGAAGGUUUUCGGAUCGUAAAACUCUGUUGUAAGGGAAGAACACGUACGAGAGGAAAUGCUCGUACCUUGACGGUACCUUACGAGAAAGCCACGGCUAACUACGUGCCAGCCGCCGCAGUAA